CUGGUUUGUUUCCGGUUUGAGCCGAAUUAAAUAAAAUGGAGUGACGGUGCUUCUUUUCGGCAUACCUGGUCCUCUGACUCGCAAUAAGUUUCAAAUAAUUCUGUUGUCAGACUACUAAAAUGUCCAUUCAAAAGAAGUGUCCAGAUUGUGGCUCCCUGGAAAUUGUGGAGGAUUCUCACUACACUCAGAACCAGUUGGUGUGUGCAGAUUGUGGCUUUAUUCUAACUGAAGGACUUCUCACCACUACAUAUGCUGAUGAAGAACAUUUACAAGAAGUGACAUAUUCACGAAGUACUGGUCAAAGUGAACAGCUGAGCCGCUGCUUGCAGCGAGGUAAAUGUUUAAUAUUACCAGUCAGCACCUUUUGGUGCACUGUACUUCCCAUUUGUGAAGUGUAGCUCCUCUCUAAAGUCAAAAUCAUUCUGUACUUUUAAAUUACCUGUAUCCUUUGCUAAGGGCAGGGUGAUUUCCCAUUUCAGAUUUCCAGAUUUCAGAGCAUUUCAGAGCUCAUUAAAUCCCUGGUAGAUAAUCUUGAGCUGGUACCAGGCUUCUGCCAAAUAGGUAGGCUUUAAA